GCCUUCCAGACGGCUCCCAUGGUUUCCCUGCUCAGGUCUUCACAGACUCUGCUUGGAGAGAAGCUAUGUUUCAUCCCCCAGGAGUUCUAGAAGAUUCUACUCCAGUCAGAGGCUGAAGGAAUUUAUGCAGAGAAAAGCUGAGGGGUGAGAUGAGCCUUCAUUCAGCAAUUGAAACCGAUUUGAUGAAGGGUAAGCUCCAUUUCCUUCCUUCUCCUCCACGGGAGGGAAUCAGAUUCACUGAGACUCACCGUGAUGACUUUUAUCUGCCCUUGACCCAAAAAUCGGACCUAGCCAGAAACAGACCCGAGGAGGGUGGGACGUGCUUGGUGGGGGCUCACCAAGUGGCCCUCGGCACCCCCCACCACACCACACACAGCUAGGAAUGCUCCCAGUUCCCAGGGACCUGCAGCCGGAGGCGCAUCUCCAGAGCAAUGCUCCUCUGGAGGCUGGCGUUGUCAUGCCUGGAACCCGACAAGCCAGGGAAUGAACCCUAGUGUAGCCACGUACUAGCUUUGUGAUUGCGGGUAAGCCAUUUUACCUCUCUGAGCCUUCAUUUCCUCAGGUGCUACGUGAUGAACUAGGAGUCCUUCCUUCCUAAGAUUGCUAUGAGAAUUAAAUGAGAGAAUGUCUGGGAAACACUUAGCACAGCACCUGGUGCUUCUUAAGCACUCAAGAAAUUCCAGCUGGCAGAUGGAGUCGCGGUAAUUAACCGCCCCCCCCAUACACACACACACAGGUUAUCUAAUUUGCCUUGAAGGUGGGGGUGGCAAGAAGAGCAGCUUUGUCUCCAUUUUCAGAUGUGAAAAUAGCUGAGAGCUGAGCUCAGUUCAGAGAAGCCAGAAGCGUCCAUGCCCAGCUGGAGAAGACCACACUGGACGACCAAGGCGGAGGCGGGGGGGCGUGGGCUCUCCAGAGAUGAUUUCCUUCCCCAGCCCCAAGAGAUGGGUGAGUAGGCUUGGCAGCACUCUGUGCCUCACUGGGAGGAAGCUGGUAUCAGGGGUGAGGACGUGACCCAGGGUGAGUCAGGGGCCAUGCCAGAAACAGCUCGCCCCCCUUCUUGUACUGGGCAAGAUGGGUAGAGGGGGAGAGAAGAUUCUGGUAGCUCCAUACCACCAGGGAAUUGAUUGUGGGCUUGCAGGCAGGGAAGAGGGAAUGCGGAAUGUGCAGUGGAGGGACUCAGGUGUGCCAGGAGCAGAGGGGCUGGGAAAGGUCCCCGUUCAGCUGUGAGGAGGGCUGCUGGGGCACAAGCCCGGGGUUAAAACAACAGGGUGCAGGCUUACAAGCUUGGGCUUGGGUGGUAAAUGAUCAAAGUCUGAGUCCUGCCUCCGCUACUUACCAACAAGCCAGGAGCUAUUCCCAGCCUCAGUUUCCUCCUUUGUCCACCUGGAAAUCAUAAUGCCUCCUUUAUUUUGUUAAAUGAGCCAAUUUAUGUAGCAUGCUUAGCACCGUGCUUGGGCCAUCGGAGGCUCCAUAAAUUUUGGCAGCUUUAGAAAAGAAAAACAAACAAAAGUUUGGGACUGGGGAUUCUGAAGAGCUGUAUCAAGGUCCCAACAGUUACAGGGGAGGGAGUGAUGGGUGGUAAACGGGAGCCAGGACGGGAGGAUGGCACCGGGGUGGGGCAGAAGGAGAGUCCUCAGAGUAGAUUAGCCAGGCUGCAGCCCCAGGAGAACAGGGUGGGAAUUUCCAAGGACCACUUGUACUCAUGGAGGAGUGGGCGGGGCGCCUAGUGGUGAGGGAAGUGUGUCUGCAUGAGGGUUUUGGCCCAGGCCAGCGGUGAGAGGCUGAAUGGGCGGCAGACUUCCAGACGUGCAGACGGAGGAGAUGGAGCAGUAAUAAUGACUUGGACACAUGGGAGGAAAAAAUAGCUCAGGGACAAAGAUGACGCCAAGGUUUCUGGCCUUGGGAAGCUCAUGGCGCUCUGAGGUGAGCGUUGAGGGAUGAAGAGGAGAGCUCCUCAAGGAAUGGGGCAGGUAGUGGGA